CGCCCUUUUUUCUUAUUCAUCAAACACAUAAUCAACAAUUUGAUAGAACUUUACAAUCCCAUUAGAAGGAGCAAGAUAUAUUAUGUUCCCCCCAAGACAAGACAACUAUAAAACAAGUUUCAACACUAUGCAAUUAGGGCCCUUGUAUGCAGCAUUGUUUCCCACUUUAAAUGUGCACCUAACAUGGGCUGAUGCAGUUUUUUUGGAGGAGGAAGGCUGGAAGCGGCCUCGCUUUAAAUUCUUAAUCUUUUUCAUAUUAAAAGAAAGUGACUCAGUGCAUAAAACAUCUCAUACUUAUGGACAGUAAGAAAAGUUGAUAUAUGUAGUUUUAUCCUCUCUGCACAGAAGCUGUUUUCAUUUGGAUUAUUAGCUUCCAAUGAUAACAUUAUCAACAAUGGAAGUUAGUUAACCUUGAAACUAAUUAACACAUUACAAAUACCCAAAAUAAUCUGUUAACCUGUAGUGUUUAUAAACAUGAAAAAUGAUGAAAAGAAAGAAAAUGGAGAAUCUCAAAGCCAAGCUUUUUUGUAGCUAGUUAGGAAAGAGUAAUAAUGGAAAAGUAAAGCAUUUUGACUCUUACUAUCUCAAUAAUAGAGAACUUUACAGUCCAAAGAGAGGCUCAACUGGAGGGAAAAGGAUAGUGUCAUUUUCUAUGCAAAUUCUUUCUUCUCUAUUUUAUUCUUUGGUUCUCCUCUUUGUCAGAGUCCUUAUCCAACCUUUCCUCACCUUGACUCCUUCAACCUUGGUUCCCACGUGGCACACAUUGUUUCCUCUGUUGGACCUCUUCCAUCUGAUGACUUGGAAUAGAUGGCCAAUCCGUUUUCUCCAUCUCAGAGAGCCACGCGGUUUUGCAUGCUCUAUCACACUCAUUGUCUCCUUAGCGUCUUUGGCUUGUUUGGCAUCCUUGUUUUCCUUGCUCAAAUCAUGGUUCCAGGACUUUGCGCAUUGCUCCAGAGUGACCUUAUUAGAGACAGUGCCCUUUUCCCAUGAGGCAGCUCCAUUCUCUUCAAACUUUAUUGAUAUGAAGGACUCUGCAAAAAAAUAAAAGCAUUCAAGCCUAGUGUGAGAUUAUGGGUUUCCAUUUUCAAAUCAUAAGGAAUUAAUGAAAGAAAUUAAAGUUGUCAACAUGUUUAAUUAAUUUUUUUAAUAAAACCAUCUGUUUGUAAGCAUAUUUUUCUCAUUUUCUUUUUUCAUCAACAUCUAUGAAUAAAAACAAAUAUGUAUAUGUGGAGACUCUGCACUAUUUACCAUAUAUUACAUGCUAAUUAAAGGAACAUGAUGAGCAAGAAACGACUUUAAAUUGACAACCAAAGGGUCCCCACUUCAGAUUUUAAAUUCUCUCUUUGCAUGACCAAAAUGCAUUAAUAUUAAUUAUACUUGCAUUUUAUGAGAUACUGAUAACCCAUGUAGGAAAUUAACAAUCCCCAAAUUGCUAGUUUGCUAAGUUGCAGUUUCUUAAUUAAUUAAAAAAUGAGAAUAGGAUUCUUUCAUCUCCAUCUGCCACCCUUACUUCUGUGGAAAGAAGCAUAAUUUUGACUCUACUUUUGUCGUUACACUGAUAUACAAGCAAUAAUUCAGCAUAUAGAGACAAUUUCACGUCAUAUUUCAGUUUUUCCCUUUUGUUUUAUGGAAUUUCAAGGACUGCAAAACUCUUGCAAAAUGGUACUACGAACUAUUAUAACAAGAAAACAACGACAUACAAGACAUGUGCAUACCUUCUGGACUGGUGGAGGCAUCAGAUUUAUCAGAGUUAUUAUCAGAUUUCCAAUGGCGAAAUUCAAGCCGAUUGAGAAGAGAACCCAAAGCAAAGAUCUUAGGAAGGCUGAUGGAAGGCUUCCUGGUUGGAGUAGUGAAGGCUUGAUGAGGUCUAGAUGAUGGAAGCUGGCCUUGCUUUGCAGCCAAUACAAGGAGCCUCUCAUUUAGGCAUAGAGGACAAACCCCUGUAACAACCUCUUUGGGAUGGAAAUAGCAGCAAGAAUUGUCUUCUCUAUAACCAUUCAUGGUUUAUAGUUCCAGAGAAAAUGAAAGAAGAGACUGAAUCUGGAAGGGGUGGACUUGUGGGAGGGAAAAAUUGUUGGCAGAAUGAAGAAAUGUAUAUGUAUAUAUGCUGCAGAGAUUUUUAUUUUAUUUUUUAUGUACUUCAUAAACAAAUGUAAGCGUAGAGAAUGGCCCACUAAUUUUUCAAUUUGGACAAUGUGAUGGGGAGGGUAGUGUUUUUGGUAUCCAUAUCUAGAGAAUUUGGUAUUUU
rnacentral:misc_RNA from 1 species